AGUGAACGCUGGCGGUAGGCCUAACACAUGCAAGUCGAACGGCAGCACAGGAGAGCUUGCUCUCUGGGUGGCGAGUGGCGGACGGGUGAGGAAUACAUCGGAAUCUACUCUGUCGUGGGGGAUAACGUAGGGAAACUUACGCUAAUACCGCAUACGACCUACGGGUGAAAGCAGGGGACCUUCGGGCCUUGCGCGAUUGAAUGAGCCGAUGUCGGAUUAGCUAGUUGGCGGGGUAAAGGCCCACCAAGGCGACGAUCCGUAGCUGGUCUGAGAGGAUGAUCAGCCACACUGGAACCGGGCCACGGUCCAGACUCCUACGGGAGGCAGCAGGGGGGAAUAUUGGACAAUGGGCGCAAGCCUGAUCCAGCCAUACCGCGUGGGUGAAGAAGGCCUUCGGGUUGUAAAGCCCUUUUGUUGGGAAAGAAAUCCAGCUGGCUAAUACCCGGUUGGGAUGACGGUACCCAAAGAAUAAGCACCGGCUAACUUCGUGCCAGCAGCCGCCGUAA
rnacentral:rRNA from 1 species